GACAGUGUGGUACAGCGGUUUGAGCAUUGGACUAUGACUCUGGUGACCAGGGUUCAAAUCCCAGCUCAGCCA